rnacentral:rRNA from 1 species
AGUUGAUCAUGGCUCAGGAUGAACGCUAGCGGCAGGCUUAACACAUGCAAGUCGAGGGGCAGCGGGAUGUAGCAAUACAUUGCCGGCGACCGGCGGAUGGGUGCGUAACGCGUAUGCAACCUACCUUAUACAGGGGAAUAACCUUUCGAAAGGGAGACUAACACCCCAUAGUAUUGAUUUAAGGCAUCUUAGAUUAAUUAAAUAUUUAUAGGUAUAAGAUGGGCAUGCGUAUGAUUAGCUAGUUGGUAAGGUAACGGCUUACCAAGGCGACGAUCAUUAGGGGUUCUGAGAGGAAGGUCCCCCACACUGGUACUGAGACACGGACCAGACUCCUACGGGAGGCAGCAGUGAGGAAUAUUGGUCAAUGGGCGCAAGCCUGAACCAGCCAUGCCGCGUGCAGGAAAGACGGCCUUAUGGGUUGUAAACUGCUUUUACAUAAGACUAACCGUAUAUUUGCGAAUAUACCUGAAUGUAUUAUGAGAAUAAGGAUCGGCUAACUCCGUGCCAGCCGCAGC